rnacentral:rRNA from 1 species
GACGAACGCUGGCGGCGUGCUUAACACAUGCAAGUCGAACGAUGAACCGGAGCUUGCUCUGGGGAUUAGUGGCGAACGGGUGAGUAACACGUGGGCAACCUGCCCCAGACACCGGGAUAACCAUUGGAAACGAUGGCUAAUACCGGAUACGACCACUUCGGGCAUCCGAUGGUGGUGGAAAGGAUUCUGGUCUGGGAUGGGCCCGCAGCCUAUCAGCUUGUUGGUGGGGUAAUGGCCUACCAAGGCGACGACGGGUAGCCGGCCUGAGAGGGCGACCGGCCACACUGGGACUGAGACACGGCCCAGACUCCUACGGGAGGCAGCAGUGGGGAAUAUUGCGCAAUGGGCGAAAGCCUGACGCGGCGACGCCGCGUGAGGGACGAAGGUCUUCGGAUUGUAAACCUCUUUCAGCAGGGAUGAAGCGAAAGUGACAGUACCUGCAGAAGAAGCACCGGCUAACUACGUGCCAGCCGCCGCCGUAAGAC